rnacentral:rRNA from 1 species
GAGAAUCCCAAGGCGCUUGAGAGAACUCGGGUGAAGGAACUAGGCAAAAUGGCACCGUAACUUCGGGAGAAGGUGCGCCCUUUGGUGUGGUCACGUGCGUGACUGAGCAUCGAAGGGUCGCAGUAACCUGGCCGCUGCGACUGUUUAUCAAAAACACAGCACUCUGCAAACACGAAAGUGGACGUAUAGGGUGUGACGCCUGCCCGGUGCUGGAAGGUUAGUUGAUGGGGUCAGCCGCAAGGCGAAGCUCUUGAUCGAAGCCCCAGUAAACGGCGGCCGUAACAAUAACGGUCCUAAGGUAGCGAAAUUCCUUGUCGGGUAAGUUCCGACCUGCACGAAUGGCGUAACGACAGCGGCGCUGUCUCCACCCGAGACUCAGUGAAAUUGAAAUCGCUGUGAAGAUGCAGCGUUCCCGCGGCAAGACGGAAAGACCCCGUGAACCUUUACUAUAGCUUUACACUGAACGUUGAGUUCUUCUGUGUAGGAUAGGUGGGAGGCUAUGAAACCAGGACGCUAGUUCUGGUGGAGCCAUCCUUGAAAUACCACCCUGAAGUGCUUGACGUUCUAACCUAGGCCCGUAAUCCGGGUCAGGGACCGUGUAUGGUGGGUAGUUUGACUGGGGCGGUCUCCUCCCAAAGAGUAACGGAGGAGCACGAAGGUACGCUCAGCGCGGUCGGACAUCGCGCACUGUGUGCAAAGGCAUAAGCGUGCUUGACUGCGAGAUCGACGGAUCAAGCAGGUACGAAAGUAGGUCUUAGUGAUCCGGUGGUUCUGUAUGGAAGGGCCAUCGCUCAACGGAUAAAAGGUACUCCGGGGAUAACAGGCUGAUACCGCCCAAGAGUUCAUAUCGACGGCGGUGUUUGGCACCUCGAUGUCGGCUCAUCACAUCCUGGGGCUGUAGCCGGUCCCAAGGGUAUGGCUGUUCGCCAUUUAAAGUGGUACGCGAGCUGGGUUCAGAACGUCGUGAGACAGUUCGGUCCCUAUCUGUCGUGGGCGUUGGAGAUUUGAGGGGGGCUGCUCCUAGUACGAGAGGACCGGAGUGGACGUUCCGCUGGUGUUCGGGUUGUCAUGCCCAUGGCAUUGCCCGGUAGCUACGAACGGAAGUGAUAACCGCUGAAAGCAUCUAAGCGGGAAGCACGCCCCAAGAUGAGAUCUCCCGAGAGCUUGACUCUCCUAAAGGCACCAUCAAGACUAGGUGGUUGAUAGGUCAGGUGUGGAAGCGCAGCAAUGCGUUGAGCUAACUGAUACUAAUGAGCCGUGAGGCUUGACCG